rnacentral:misc_RNA from 1 species
UACCUCCCCUUUUUUCGUCGUGUUAUAUCGCGUCUUAUAUACAAACUAAAGGAAGAUGGAAUCUUUACCCCUGAGGCACAUGCGUGCUAACACAUACACGUGCGUACACAAGCAGGUGAUAGUAGACCGCCACGAUUCCCAGCGCUCGGAUCUCUCAGACGAUGAGUACCAGCACAUGCUCUGUCUGAAGCCGGACCGGAAAACCAGCGUCGUGUCGACUGAAGCAGCGUACUCGAGAAUGACCCUGGGGCUCUCGUCGGACGGCUCCAUGUUCUCUAGGCUCUCCAGCGACAGUCUAGAUGCGCGGACGACCAUCCCGCCGCUGUUCAUUGCAAUCCAGAAUGGCGAACUAGGUACUCUCAAGCAGAUUUUAACAGAAACCCCAGAGCUACUGAACACCCUGAAGUAUGGCGGUUUCACAGCUCUCCACACAGCGUGUCAUGUGCGUCAACACGGGGUACUUAUGCUGUUAAUGGACCAUGGCGCUAAGGCGGGCGCGAUGGACACCCUUGGCCAUACGCCCCUGCAUUUGGCUGUCCACGAGGGCUGGCACCAGGGCGUCGCGGAACUCCUGCGGCGGGGAGCCUCCCCGAACAUCCUCAGCGAACCCCCGCAGUCCGUGAAGGAGGUGCGCGUUGAGACGCCCCUGCACGCUGCCAUCCGCCACGGGGACCUCGCCUCCAGCACCCUCAUGAUGCAGUACCACCCAGAUCUAUCGGUUCGCGAUGGCGACCGGAACACCGUCCAUCACUUGGCUGCCUACGCCCGCAGCACAGACAUCUUCCGCAUGCUGAUGCGCGAGAAGGUAUUCGAUGACACGAUGGCCGCGGGCAAUCGCGAGGGCAACACCGUGCUGCACAUGGCGCUCAAGUGCGAGUGUGAUACAGCCGAGGAGCCUUCGCUCAUGGAGCUGGUUACGCUCCUGAUCGAAAAGGGCGCCGACGUGAAUGCCAUUAACAUGAAAGGCGAGUCGCCGUUAUUCCUGGCGUCACGACUGCAGUGCCCCAAGGUGGUGGAGUUACUGCUUUCCUCGGGAGCCGACCCGACGGUGGUGACUCGCCGCGGACAGUCGGUGCUGCACGCCGCGUGCCACAGCGGCUGUGCGUCCAGUCUGAGUCAGCUCCUCAACACGAAGAGAAUGGAGCACUUGGUCACGCAGGCUGACAGCGAGAGCAAGGAGCCAUUCCACUAUGCGGUUCACAGGAGCUCCAUCGACUGCUGCGAGCUCCUCCUGAACAACGGCGACCACCUGACUCGCAAGGAUGCGGAGGGAGAGUCGCGCUGCUCCCUCGUGCUGGAGCACCUCCCCGGCGCCACGCAGCUCUUCAGGCGCCUCUUCGACGCGCGGGUCAAACUCUCCAACAAGCCGCAGUACGACCCCGACUUCCGCGUCACCUUCGACUACUCCGUGCUGCUCUCGCCGGACAUGGAGGACGUGCAGAGCUCGCUCAUGUCCGAGCUUUCCACCACGAGGAUCGAGUCCCUCCUAAAGCAUCCGCUCCUCGAGAGCUUCCUCUUCAUUAAGUGGCGGAAGAUCAAACCUUUCUUCUACUGCAGUGUGCUGGUCUACUUCACAUUCCUCAUUCUGCACACGAGCUUCCUCAUUUCGAAAUUCGGUAGCUGUAACGCCAGGAUGGACGGCAUGGUACUAAUCAAGUGUCUCCACAUUUUUAUGUUCUUUCUCAUCCUUAUCCCUGACCUCAUCAUCAUGUUGGCGAACCUGAAGAAAUACCUGCGCCAGUGGGAGACCUUUUCCAAAAUGAUUGCCCUUGGCAGUUCUGCCUUCGUGGUGUUUUCCGUCACUCCGUCCGUUCUGAAUGAGUUGAAGGGCACUGUCAUGCAGGGCAAUGAAACGGACGCAAACGUCUCGAGCGAAAUGACACCGGACUGUAAGGCUCACCUUCACUACGACGCGCCGAUAGUGCGGCACGUGGCGGCGGUGUCGGCGUUCUUCGGCUGGGUGGAGUUCAUGAUGCUCCUUGGCCGCUUCCCCUCCCUCGGCGCCUACGUCCUCAUGUUCACUCGCGUCGCCAAGUCCAUUACCAAGUUCAUCGUGGCCUUCUCCAGCCUCCUCAUCGGCUUCUCUAUCAGCUUCAUGAUCAUCUUCAAGGGCAACCCGGUCUUCCGCUUCCCGCUCAGCCUAGUCAAGACGCUCAUGAUGAUGAUCGGCGAGAUCGAGUACGGAGACCUGGCCGUCGACUCGAAUAUGCAAAUCACGAGAUCUCUGUUCCUGGUGCUGUUCCUCUUCCUGGUGUGUAUUCUGAUGGCUAACCUCCUGAUCGGUCUGGCUGUCAAUGACAUCCCAGAUCUGCAGAGGCAAGGCAAGAUCAAGCGCUUGGCCAAGCAGGCGUCGUAUCUCGUGUCUUACGAGAAGCUGAUGUGGGUGGCCAGGAGCCUUCGCUGCUUCCCCCGCCGCAUGCGCAUCCUGCUAACAACCCGCGUGCGGAUCCUGCCCGUGGUAACUGUGUUCCCAAGCCGGGAGAACAAGUCCCGCCGGCACCAGCAGCACAUCCCGUCCGAGACCCUGCAGGAGGCCAUCCUGCUCGGCACCUGCGAGGACCCGAAGAUGGAGGACCUGCACAUCGAGGGAGAGGAUUUCUCGAGGCAGUUCAUGUCCUUCAAGAUCAAGUACGACCGCGACUGGCGCUCACUCAACCGCCGCCUGGGGCAGCUGGCGGACUGCUCGACCACCGACAAGAUCCUGAGAGAGAGGCUCGAUCAAAUGCAGAAGAUGAUGGAAACACAGAUGCUGCAGAUGUCAAUCCAGCUUCAGCAACACAACAGGAAUCUACUCUACCAGUCCAUGAUGCACCAGCCAGUAUUCCAGCAGAUCCAGCAGCAAAAUCGGCCACAGUACCAACAAGUAAUGCAGAAUCAAAAUGCCGCCGGGAACGAGGUGCCCAAAUCUCACUCCGUGCAGGACCUGAGCCAAAGCAGCAGGCCGGCAAACGCCCUUCGCCGAGCCUCGCAGCACGAUUGCCCCGCCGUGGCUGCAGGCGCGAGGAAGGUCAGCAUGGCGAUCUCAACGCUCUCCACGAUGCCUCCAUCCACGCAGUUUGCUUCUGUCCCACACGCCUACUACACACAAGCAGGACAACCACAUUCGUCCUACACGCAAGCACUUCACCAGCAACCUUCCCACCUCCUUUCAUUCACGACGCAGCCAUCCCAAGCACAAAUGUCCCUGCCGCAGCCCGCCCAGGCCACGCCCAUGCACAGACAAAGCUCAGAGCCGCACCACAUGCGCCCUUUUCAGACGCAGCCUUCCCCGACAGAGCCCGACUCGCUGUCGGAGCACAGUCGGGAUGUUUCGCUGACUGAUCACCAGUAGAAGUAUUUACUAAUGAUAAGAUAAUAUAAAUAAUACUGUGUUAGUGCAUAUAUAUAUAUAUAUAUAUAUAUAUAUAUA